AGAGUUUGAUCAUGGCUCAGGAUGAAUGCUGGCGGCGUGGAUGAGGCAUGCAAGUCGAAUGGGUUUAGGCCCAUGGCAGACGAGGUAGGAACACGUAGGUACGUACCCCAAAGUCAGGGAUAAUCCGUCGAAAGGCGGCACAAUACUUGAUAGUCUCUUCGGAGUAAAGAUUUAUCGCUUUGGGAACGGCCUGCGGGCUAUCAGCUUGUUGGUAAGGUAACGGCUUACCAAGGCUACGACGGCUAGGGGAGGUGAGAGCCUGACCCCCACCGAUGGAACUGCGACACGGUCCAUACUCCUACGGGAGGCUGCAGUCGAGAAUCUUCCGCAAUGGACGAAAGUCUGACGGAGCGACGCCGCGUGGUGGAUGAAGUCCUUAGGGACGUAAACACCUUUUAUGGAGGAGAAAGUUUAUUGAUGUUACUCCAUGAAUAAGGGGCUCCCAACUCUGUGCCAGCAGGAGCGGUAAUACAGAGGCCCCAAGCAUUAUCCGGAUUUACUGGGCGUAAAGGGUGCGUAGGCGGUUAUAUUAGCCAGGUGUUAAAUCUUUGGGCUCAACCCAAAAAUCGCAUUUGAAACGGUAUAACUAGAAGAAGUCAGAGGCAAGCAGAACUCACGGUGUAGGGGUGAAAUCCGUUGAUAUCGUGGGGAAUACCAAAUGCGAAGGCAGCUUGCUGGGACUCUCUUGACGCUGAGGCACGAAAGCGUGGGUAGCGAAGCGGAUUAGAUACCCGCGUAGUCCACGCCCUAAACGCUGUCUGUUGGUUUUUAGGAGUAUCGACCCUCUUAGAGACGAAGCUAACGCGUUAAACAGACCGCCUGGGUAGUACGAUCGCAAGAUUAAAACUCAAAUGAAUUGACGG
rnacentral:rRNA from 1 species